UCCUCUCUUUUUCUAGAUAUAGAUAGUUUACUUAAUUUGUAUUCCUCUUUUUCUAGAUACAAAUAGUUUACCUUGUACUGACUUCUCGAGUUCUUUCAUUUUCAAACACUCAAAUUUAAUUCUUUAUCAUUUUCUUUAGACCGUGCAAUUUUUAUAAUUCUUUAAUUUAAAUUAGGCUUAAUACCUAUUUUGGUCCUUCGAAAGAGGGGUUUUGUUCAAAAUCGUCCUACUUUUUUUGAAAAAUAACAAUUCAACCCACUUAUUAAAAAAACUGUCCAAAUUAAUCCUUUUGGCUAACACCGUUAAAAAUUUAACGUUAGAGCUGCCCUCCUGGACUAAAGUUAAUGACAUGUGAUUGUGUGGCAGUUUCAACUUUAUUGAUGUGUAAAAAUAAAAUUAAAAUGUUAUUAUUGAUGUAUACUAUGCUGUGAGAAAGAGAGGUUAAAAAAAAUUGUGGUUAGGACUAGAAGAAAAAUCGCGAUUUGGAAUUAAACUUCCUGGUGCAAGCUUCGUAAAUUAGGGUGUCAAGGUGAAGAACAAACAGCGUAUACGAUCUGGACAUCAUCUUUGCGCCUUCCCCAUUGCCGGGAAAUUCCAGAGGCCAAAUCUAAAAGAUUUGUAUACGAUAUGGACAUCAUUUUUGCGCCUCCCAAUAUAAUACCCAAUCCUACAAAACUCCUUCACUCUGCAAAAUCAAAGAAAACAACAGCAAACAAAAACCCAUUAAUCAUUGAAGGCACAAGAACAACCUAACACAUAGCCUUCAAACCCAAACACACACAUUUUCAUACAUCAACAUGUGAGAACUGGAUUCAUUAAGUGAUAAAUAACGAAACACAUAUUCCAAUCUUAGAUACUAUGCAAAAGCCCCAAAUUCUUGACCGCCAAAAUAGGUUACAUCACAUUGAGCACAAGAACAAACACCCUUUACAAGGGUUUCAAAAAAAUUGGGAUUAGGUUUUAAAAAAUCCCCUUCCUCACCAAAAAUUAGGGUUUCAAGUUGGGGAAGGGGCUCUUUGUCGUUCAACAUCGUCUUGCACGCGGGAAAGGAGGCGCGACCUGCUUGUUGUCUUUCUGAUGCAGGUUGAAUUGCGAUGGCUUCUCCAAGGCGCGACAAGGUGGCAUGGUGGAAGGGAGAAGACGAGAUACAAUGCAAAGAUGGUGGAGUCGCGAUUUGGGGUUCUGUUCUUUUGCAGGUGCGUUAAUGGUGGAGGAUGAAGGAAUCCCGACUGGGAUUUCGCAGUGGUAACGACACUUUUUGUUUCUGAUUUUGGUUGUAGGUGGUGGAGAAGCUACGAGAUGGUGGUGAUGGUUGAAGAUCGAUUCACCGCUGUUGAUGGCGCGACGACGCUUUGGGUAGUGAAGCGAUGAGGUUCUCGCCUUCUGCGUUUCUGCAGGUUGCGCUCUGCUGAUGGCGCGACGACGUUAGGUGGCAUGACUCCUGAUGGCGGCAGCACGACGAGUCGCAAUGUGGUUGCCGGCGUCUAGGUGGUUGCUGAGGGUCGCUGGGUGGCUGCCAUGAAGGUGGUGCAAUGAAGAAUUUUUUAUAACCUAACCUCAUUUUUUUUAACCUAAUCCCAAAUUUUUUAAUCAAAAAAUAUAAUAACAUUUUAAUUUUACUUUGGCACGUCAAAAAACUAGAAACUGACACCAUAAUACUACGAAAUCAAUUAAAAGUGACACAUCAUGAAUUAAAAGUGACACAUCAUGAACCUUAGUCCACAGGAGCAUAUCUCACGUUAAAUUUUUAACGAAGUUAACCAAAAGUAGUAACUUGCACACUUAUUUCAAAAAGUAGGACUAAUGGUUACAUUUUAAAAAAAGUAGGACGAUUUUGAAUAAAAUUUGUUUUUCGAGAGACCAAAAUAGGUAUUAAACCUUUAAAUUAAGAUUUAUAUUUUCUCUAGAGUAAUGAUUUAUUCCUU
rnacentral:lncRNA from 1 species